GAGGGAGGGGCUGACACUGGAUGAGACGAAGGAGUUGGGCCUCCAUGCGUUCUUCACGAGGGAGCGGAUUUGCCCUAGGAGGAAUUCUGGACUGUGUCUGUAGUAGGUGGGGUGGUUCAGAAGUUGUGUGUGUAGACACAAAAGUGUGAGCUUGUGUAGACUCUGCCCUGCAGGUCACCAUACUCUCCGGGUCACUUCCUGUGGAAUGAAAGCUAGGUUAGCGGAGCUGGGGCCUGGGGCGGGCCCUGCCCCUGCCGGGCCGCCCUCGCCUGUCCAGGCAAGAGGAAUGGUCCACUGCUAUAGUCGAGGACCCCCCCGUCAAGUUCAUCCCUGAGAGGAUUAGGGAGCAGGCAGGUGGCUUACGUGCCUGCUUAGCUCCUCCAGACAACUCAUUCACAUAAGGCGUUGAGAUUUAAGGAGGUUCAGUUCUUCCUCAGAUUCACAGAGCAGGUUGCUGGCAUGGAGCCCGGGAUGAGGAGGCCCCUUCAGGGCACAGUGUUUCUGUAGGAGCAUCACAGGUCAGGACUCCAAAGCCAGGCCCGUCCGUCCAGGAGGCCCAGCCCUGUGAGACGUG